UACGAACUGUGCGAACGUUAUUCGGAAUCACUGGGCUUACAGGGUGCGUAGGCGGCUUGUCAAGUAGGGUGUGAAAGCCCCCGGCUCAACCGGGGAAUUGCGCCCUAAACUGGCGAGCUAGAGUGAGAUAGGGGUGUGUGGAACUUCCGGUGGAGCGGUGAAAUGUGUUGAUAUCGGAAGGAACGCCGGUGGCGAAAGCGACACACUGGAUCUUGUCUGACGCUGAGGCACGAAAGCCAGGGGAGCGAACGGG
rnacentral:rRNA from 1 species